rnacentral:rRNA from 1 species
GACGAACGCUGGCGGCGUGCUUAACACAUGCAAGUCGAACGGUAAGGCCCUUCGGGGUACACAAGUGGCGGACGGGUGAGUAACACGUUGGAACCUGCCCCGAAGAGGGGGAUAACUACCCGAAAGGGUGGCUAAUACCCCAUAUACUCCGAUUUAUUCGGAGGAAAGCUUUUGCGCUUCGGGAGGGGCCUGCGUAACAUUAGCUUGUUGGUGAGGUAAAAGCUCACCAAGGCGACGAUGUUUAGCUGGUUUGAGAGGAUGAUCAGCCACACUGGGACUGAGAUACGGCCCAGACUCCUACGGGAGGCAGCAGUGAGGAAUAUUCCACAAUGGGGGAAACCCUGAUGGAGCGAUGCCGCGUGCAGGAAGACGCUUUUCGGAGUGUAAACUGCUUUUAAUAGGGAAGAUUAUGACGGUACCUAUAGAAUAAGGACCGGCUAACUACGUGCCAGCCGCCGCCGUAA